UUGCAGACAUUGUACAAUUAUGGAGCAAGGAAAUUUGUGUUAAUUUGAGUGGGCCAAAUUGGAUGCAGCCCAAAUGCUUUGGCCCAAAAUAGCCCAGAUGGAAGAACUUGUGCUCAAAAUAUUAAUGUGGCAAAUCAAUUAUUUAACAAUAAACUGAGGGCACUUGUGGAUAAUUUAAAUAGAAAUACACCAAAUGCUAAAUUAAUCUACAUUAAUGCUUAUGGAAUAUUUCAAGAUUUAAUUGACAAUCCCUUUGCUUUUGAAUUUAGAGUGACGAACGCUGGAUGUUGCGGAAUAGGAAGGAACAAUGAACAAAUAACAUGUCUACCAUUUCAAAAUCCAUGCCCAAAUAGAAAUGAAUAUUUAUUUUGGGAUGCAUUUCAUCCAGGUGAAGCUGCAAAUAUAAUUGUUGGAAGAAGAUCUUAUAGAGCCCAAAAGUCAACUGAUGCAUACCCUUUUGAUAUUCAACGUUUAGCACAAUUGUGAAGAAAAAAUAAAUAUGGUUAUUAUUA